ensembl:misc_RNA Metazoa_SRP Metazoan signal recognition particle RNA
GCUGGUCGCAGUGGCAGUGCCUAUAGUCCCAGCUACUCGAGAGGCUGAGGCAAGACAAUGGCUUGAACCCUGGAGUUCUGGGCUAGAGUGUGCUAUGCUGAUGUGGUGUCUGCACUAAGUUUAGCAACAGCAUGGUGACCUCCCCUGGAGCAGGGACCACUAGGUUGCCCAAGGAGGAGUGAACUGGCCCAGGUCAGAAAUAGCAGAUUAAAAACUCCCAUGCUGGACCAGGUGCAGUGGCUCAUGUCUGUAAUCCCAGCACUUUGGGAGCCCAAGGCAGGUGGAUCACUUGAGGUCAGGAGUUUGAGACCAGCCUGGCCAACAUGGUGAAACCCUGUCUCU